GAGUUUGAUCAUGGCUCAGGAUUAACGCUGGCGGCAUGCCUAAUACAUGCAAGUCGAACGGAGUAGCAAUACUUAGUGGCGAACGGGUGAGUAACACGUAUCUAAUCUACCAUUUAGUGGGGAAUAACUGUUGGAAACGACAGCUAAUACCGCAUAAUAUUGCUGGAUAAUUUCCAGUAAUGAAAGGAGCUUUCAAGCUCCGCUGAUUGAUGAGGAUGCGGCGCAUUAGCUAGUUGGUAGGGUAAUGGCCUACCAAGGCAAUGAUGCGUAGCCGAUCUGAGAGGAUGAACGGCCACAUUGGGACUGAGACACGGCCCAAACUUCUACGGAAGGCAGCAGUAGGGAAUUUUUCACAAUGGGCGAAAGCCUGAUGGAGCAAUGCCGCAUGACUGAUGAAGGUCUUCGGAUUGUAAAGGUCUGUUGUAAGGGAAGAAAUGGUAAAACAGGAAAUGGUUUUAUCUAUGACGGUACCUUACCAGAAAGCCACGGCUAACUAUGUGCCAGCAGCCGCGGUAAUACAUAGGUGGCAAGCGUUAUCCGGAUUUAUUGGGCGUA
rnacentral:rRNA from 1 species